rnacentral:rRNA from 1 species
GACGAACGCUGGCGGCGUGCUUAACACAUGCAAGUCGAACGGUAAGGCCCUUCGGGGUACACGAGUGGCGAACGGGUGAGUAACGCGUGAGUAACCUGCCCUUCACUCUGGGAUAACAGUUGGAAACGGCUGCUAAUACCGGAUAUUCAGCUCCUGUCGCAUGGUGGGGGUUGGAAAGUUUUGGUGGUGGAGGAUGGGCUCGCGUCCUAUCAGCUUGUUGGUGGGGUGAUGGCCUACCAAGGCGUCGACGGGUAGCCGGCCUGAGAGGGCGACCGGCCACAUUGGGACUGAGAUACGGCCCAAACUCCUACGGGAGGCAGCAGUGGGGAAUAUUGCACAAUGGGCGGAAGCCUGAUGCAGCAACGCCGCGUGCGGGAUGACGGCCUUCGGGUUGUAAACCGCUUUCAGCAGGGACGAAGCGCAAGUGACGGUACCUGCAGAAGAAGCACCGGCUAACUACGUG